UCCCUUGAUGGUCCAGUGGCUAAGACUCUGUGCUCCUAAUGCAGAGGGCCCGGGUUCAAUCCCUGGUCAGGGAA